CUACGGGUCGCUGCAGUGAGGAAUAUUGCACAAUGGGGGGAACCCUGAUGCAGCAACGCCGCGUGGAGGAUGACGCAUUUCGGUGUGUAAACUCCUUUUAUAUGUCGAGAAAAUGACGGUAGCAUAUGAAUAAGCACCGGCUAACUCCGUGCCAGCAGCCGCGGUAAUACGGAGGGUGCAAGCGUUACUCGGAAUCACUGGGCGUAAAGGACGCGUAGGCGGGUUGGAAAGUCAGGUGUGAAAUCCUACAGCUUAACUGUAGAACUGCACUUGAAACUUCUAAUCUAGAGUAUGGGAGGGGGAGAUGGAAUUAGUGGUGUAGGGGUAAAAUCCGUAGAUAUCACUAGGAAUACCUAAAGCGAAGGCGAUCUCCCGGAACAUUACUGACGCUAAGGCGUGAAAGCGUGGGGAGCAAACAGGAUUAGAUACCCUAGUAGUC
rnacentral:rRNA from 1 species